AAUAGGGGGCCCUAUACCAUACAUCUGGGCGAAAGCUUGACGGAGUAAUGCUGCGUGGAGUUAGAAGGCCCACGGGUCGUGAACUUCUUUUCCCGGGGAAGAAGCAAUGACGGUAUCUGGGGAAUAAGCAUCGGCUAACUCUAUGCCAGCAACCGCGGUAAUACAGAUGAUGCAAGCAUUAUCCGGAAUGAUUGGGCGUAAAGCGUCUGAGCGGCCUCACACAAAAAGAUUUGUCUAAGCAAUCUCUACAUAA
rnacentral:ncRNA from 1 species